GUAAGACUGGGAUAACUCCGGGAAACCGGAGCUAAUACCGGAUAGUUCCUUGAACCGCAUGGUUCAAGGAUGAAAGACGGUUUCGGCUGUCACUUACAGAUGGACCCGCGGCGCAUUAGCUAGUUGGUGGGGUUCAAGGAUAAUGGCUCACCAAGGCGACGAUGCGUAGCCGACCUGAGAGGGUGAUCGGCCACACUGGGACUGAGACACGGCCCAGACUCCUACGGGAGGCAGCAGUAGGGAAUCUUCCGCAAUGGACGAAAGUCUGACGGAGCAACGCCGCGUGAGUGAUGAAGGUUUUCGGAUCGUAAAGCUCUGUUGUUAGGGAAGAACAAGUGCGAGAGUAACUGCUCGCACCUUGACGGUACCUAACCAGAAAGCCACGGCUAACUACGUGCCAGCAGCCGCGGUAAUACGUAGGUGGCAAGCGUUGUCCGGAAUUAUUGGGCGUAAAGGGCUCGCAGGCGGUUUCUUAAGUCUGAUGUGAAAGCCCCCGGCUCAACCGGGGAGGGUCAUUGGAAACUGGGAAACUUGAGUGCAGAAGAGGAGAGUGGAAUUCCACGUGUAGCGGUGAAAUGCGUAGAGAUGUGGAGGAACACCAGUGGCGAAGGCGACUCUCUGGUCUGUAACUGACGCUGAGGAGCGAAAGCGUGGGGAGCGAACAGGAUUAGAUACCCUGGUAGUCCACGCCGUAAACGAUGAGUGCUAAGUGUUAGGGGGUUUCCGCCCCUUAGUGCUGCAGCUAACGCAUUAAGCACUCCGCCUGGGGAGUACGGUCGCAAGACUGAAACUCAAAGGAAUUGACGGGGGCCCGCACAAGCGGUGGAGCAUGUGGUUUAAUUCGAAGCAACGCGAAGAACCUUACCAGGUCUUGACAUCCUCUGACAACCCUAGAGAUAGGGCUUUCCCUUCGGGGACAGAGUGACAGGUGGUGCAUGGUUGUCGUCAGCUCGUGUCGUGAGAUGUUGGGUUAAGUCCCGCAACGAGCGCAACCCUUGAUCUUAGUUGCCAGCAUUUAGUUGGGCACUCUAAGGUGACUGCCGGUGACAAACCGGAGGAAGGUGGGGAUGACGUCAAAUCAUCAUGCCCCUUAUGACCUGGGCUACACACGUGCUACAAUGGACAGAACAAAGGGCUGCGAGACCGC
rnacentral:rRNA from 1 species